rnacentral:lncRNA from 1 species
UUUUUUUUUUGUUGUAUUAGAGGAUGUUUUUAUGUAAUGCUCUUUUGAAGUGAUUUAUAUUUUUUUUAUUUGAGGACUAGUUUAGUAGUCUAUAGAGUCUGAAGAAUGUUUGUAAGUCAGGUAUUAAGCAAAGUGUCUGUAUAAAGUUAAGAUACUUCUUAAAUGUCUAAUUUUAUUUUAUUUAUUUUUUGUUGAUAAAAAAACAGUUACAACUUCUAAAUUAUAUUUUACAAUGAUAGAAUGAACUAAGAAAACUGGGUUGUGGUGUUUGUCAACCAAUGUUUAGUAUAGGUUACAUAAUACAUCGAUCCGUAAAAAAAGUAAAAAAAUAAGAACCACUUUAGAGAUGAUCUAAUCUUUUUCAUAACACAAAUCUCCUCUACAUAAUAAGCUUUUAUUUUGUAGAGAUUUUGUUUGACAGAAGAGUGAAACAAGAAGAACCACAAGCAAUGGAUUCUAUGGAUGCUGUUAUUUUCUGUGAUGACCCUUCAAAGAGAAACGUUGAAGAAGAGAGUGAAGAAGAAGUGGUGACAGUGGAGGAACUGGAGAGAAGGAUGUGGAGGGAUCGCAUGAUGUUGAGGAAGCUUAAGGAGGAGAAGAGGGAAAAGGAGAAAGGAGAAACAAUGGAGAUGAUGAAGAAGAAGGCAUUGAUUCGUGCACAAGACACAGUGCUGAAGAACAUGGUGAAGAUGAUGGAGAUUUGUGGUGCUCGUGGCUUCGUCUAUGGCAUCAUUCCUGAGAAGGGAAAACCAGUAAGUGGAGCUUCUGAUAACCUCAGAGCUUGGUGGAAAGAAAGGGUCAAGUUUGAUCAUAAUGGUCCUGCUGCUAUACAAAGGUCAAACUUUUCUUACACUUUCAUAUAUCUUAUUCAUUAAUAUAUGAUUAUAUAGUGAAAAAAAAAAUCUAAUUAAUUUGGAAUUGUUUAACAGUGAUUCUAAAAUCUUUUCUUUAUCUCAAUUAAAAGUAUUAAAAAUUUCGUCUUGGAUUACUUCUUAUUUACUUUAGUUUAUUUUUCUUUUCUGAUUGUUGUCUUCAUCUACGUAUUUGAUGUUUGAUGUCAAUUUAAAGUUUCUGUUAAUUUUUGUUUGAAUGUUUGGUGGCAGUGUUAUGUUUAGGCAUUUUUGUUUGUUGAUUGAUUGAGUUUUUCUUUUGAGUAGUGUAAUUGGUAUGUAUAUGAGUUGGAUUAUCCUUUAAGUGGUUCAUAUUUAUUUUUAUUUUAUAAAAAAAAAUAUUAACUACAUUUUUAAUAUAUUGUUUUAUGUCUUUUAUUUGUGCAUGUUAUCUUUAGGUUAUUACUUUUACUUUAAAGAUUUUUUUGUAUGUGUUUACUAUUAGUAAAAAAUUAGAAAAUUUCUUUGUAAACAUGUUUGUGAAAAAAAAAAUGUUAGAAAUAUUAAAUAUUAUACAAAACAUAUUUUGUUAAAACCUGUGUAAAAAAUUAUUGAUUUCACAUCAAAUUUGAGAAAUUAAUAAUUUUUUUUUAAAUUACAGUAAAUUUUGCAGAACUUUUUUGUACGAAAAUUUACGGGAGGAUUAAAAAUUAAUUAAAAUAUUCCAAGAAAACCCUUAGGAAAAAAAUUGCGAAUUCAAGUUAUUUUGCAGAAGUUUUCUUAUUAAAAAAAGCGAAUUUGAAAAUGCAAAGUAAUUUUUUUUUUGUUCUGAAAAGACAAUAUAGUGAAAUAGGUAGUGACCACAAUGUUCUUAAUGAACUAUAAGAACUGAAAUCAUCAUAAAACCAAAUAUAAAAUUACAAUAUUAACAUAAUAUUAUUGUCAGUAUAAUAAAUAAAAUGGUUAAAAAUGUCUUUAUACUCCUUGCAUUACUGCAAAACUUACAUAUAAAAAUACAUACUCUUUUCAUGAUUUAAAAUUAUUAAUAAUUGAGGAAAAAUAGCUUUAAAGAAAUUUAGGAAUGAAUGGUGAUAUGUUAACACCACAAAUAGGAGAAUAAAUUCAUUUUAUAAACCAAUAAAAUCAUAUUUUAAUCAUAUUUAAUUUAUUUUUUAUUUUAAAUAUUAUUAUAAUAUGGUGUGAAGUAUAUGUUUUUAGUGUGUGGUGUCAAAUAAAUCUUUUUCUUGAAAUGCUACCAGUAUUAACACACUCUUUUAGACUUAUUUUUUCUCAUUGGUUAAAAAUGGUUGAUGCAAAACCCUACAUUGGAAUGUUUAGUUUGGAAAAAUGUUUCAUUAAACUAUGAAUAGUGAAAAAACAUUGACAAACACUUAUAAUAAUAUUUUAAAUUAAAAAAAUAUUAAUUUAUUAAAAUAUGAAAAGUAUAUUUUUAUUGUUGGUGUCAAUACCUUUAGUUUGUCCCUUAUUAUUAGUAAGACUUUGAUUGUAAUUUUUUAAGAAUAUUUUGGAGGGUUUUUAUAAUUUGUAUGAAUUAUUUAAUUUGUCCCUUACUAUUAGUAAGACUUUGAUUGUAUUUUUUUAAGAAUAUUUUGGAGGGUUUUUAUAAUUUGUAUAAGGGUUGAAUUAUUUUUAAAGUGGUUUUCAUUUUUUUGUACUGAUAAGAAAGAAAGAAAAAACAUUACAUUGGAAUAUUUAGUAUUUGUUUAUAAUAUUGAUGUUUGAUGUUUGAUGAACCUGUGUACCAGGUAUGAGGAAGAAAGUGGGUUUGAUGACAUGGUUGGUGAUGCAUUCGAUGGAGAGUCACCAACAACAUACACUCUGAGUGAUCUCCCAGACACAACUCUUGGCUCACUCUUGUCAUCUCUAAUGCAGAACUGUGACCCUCCCCAGAGGAGGUACCCUUUGGACAAGGGCACUGCCCCUCCCUGGUGGCCCACUGGGCAGGAAUGGUGGUGGGCCCAGAUGGGCUUUUCCAUGGACCCAGGCCCACCUCCCUACAAGAAGCCCCAUGACCUCAAGAAGGUGUGGAAGAUCUGUGUGCUCAUUGCAGUCAUCAAACACAUAUCCCCAGACAUAGCAAAGAUCAGAAACAUUGUGCUUCACUCUAGGACCCUUCAGGACAAGCUCACUGCCAAAGAAACUGCCAUUUGGAAUGCCAUUGUGAAGCGUGAAGAGUCCUUCGCUAGGAGAUCAUACCCUCAUUUCUUCCACCAUACCCUCCCACCAAGACCACCACCAAUUGCCUAUGAUAAAAAAUUUACAAAUUUUCUUGGAGGACUCAACAACAAACCACAACCCAACAAUGUUGCUAAUGUUGGAGCAAGAAAUUUCUUUGUGGGCCAGUUCAAUCCACCACCACCAACAAGCAAUGUUGCAAUUGCUAAUGGCAAUAACAAUAACAAUAACAUGCUUACAAUGAUGAACAGAGGCACUGUCAUGCCACUAGACCAUGCUGUUGAAAAGAGAAAGGGUGGAGAUGUUCAAGGUAUUACAUUUCCUCAUCAGGCUUAUUCUUGCCAUAACAUCGAGUGUGGCUUUGGGUUCAGUGACAGGAACACGAGGAACAAUCAUCAGCUGACAUGCCAAUACAGAAGCAGAAAUCCUCUGCAAGUGGUUGGAAGUGACAGGAACAUUGGUGCAUCAGUUACUAAUCAAAAUCAGAGUUUCACUGACAUGGGGUGUGGUGUGAUGAACAACAUGAAUGUUGAGCAGAAGCAAUCCACAGGUGUUGGAAGUAGCAUGAAUGUUGCUCCUCUUGCAGGCCAAAACCAGAAUGUGCAAAGAGUUCAGACUGAGGAGAAUGGUUUGUUUGAUGGAAGGUUUUGUUUGGAGAAGGAUAUGUUUGGCAGCAACAUGUAUGUGCCUUCUUUAGCAAGCAAAACAGAGCAGCAGGUGCAAAAUGUUCACAGUUUGAAUGGGAAUUUGUCAACAUCGAUAAUAGUAGAUCCUCCCAUUGCAUGGGAUGCAAACAAUUCCCAAGCUGAAUUUUUGGACUCUCCUUUGUUGACAACACCGGAUAAGGAUAUUCUUUGGCCAUAACUUAAGGGAAAAUAGGUCAAAAGAAUAGUAAAUUAAUUACUUCUCUUAACUUUCACUCUUGUGUAAAUAUCUCCUUUGGCCUUGUUAAACUUCAAUUAUGUGUGCUAAAUGGUUCCCAUGGUCUUAGUUUUGGCAAUUAAAGGUGUGGCAAAUUGCUUUAAAUAUCUUGUCAUCUAGUGGUCCAACUUAACAUACAAGGGCUACCACAAGAGCUAGCUCUUCUGAUAAAAAAAAAAUUAAAAAAAUCCAAUCAACCUAAACUCUUCAUAAAUUUUUAAUCGAAUGCAUAUACAUUAGAAGUUAUAGACACCAAUUCGAGAAGGAAAAGCUUAUAGAAGACAACUUUUAUGUGAUUAAAGACUAAACUUUUAAUUGUGUUAAGAGAAAAUUUAAGAAUGAUCAAUUACUCCAUCUUUAAAAAUAUAAUUAUUCUUAUGCCUCCAAAUCACUGAAACAGUUACUUACUGGUUGAUUAUUUUGCAUUUUUAAUAAUAUAGUUGUCAAAACUAAAACUCUAAGAGUCUAUUUCACAAAAGUUUGAGGUUAAAAGAAGAACCGUUGAAAAUGGUUUGUUAUUUAGAAGUAUGUGUGGAGAUGGUAGGUUUUGAAUUUGUGGAUUUUAGAGAAAUAGGGUUGUUUUAAGGAUGAAGAACAAAGGUUAAUGUGUCUAUUAGUGGAGUUUUCUUGGUCAGUGUAAAAAAAACAUGUAAUUAUGCUUAAUUCAAAGUAUGAAUGUGAUGAACUCUUAUUUUUGUGUGUGUUCUUUUAUCAGCAUGCAUGCAUGGGUGUUAUUUAAUUACUCUUUUGCCUAUUUCCAAGGGUAGGAGGAAAUUUAUUUGAAGGGAUGUAAAUUCUUAAUAUCAUAUUUUCUCCACUAAAAAAGUGUGUAGGUUUAUAAAUUUAAAAAAUAUAUAUAUUUUAUUAAAAAUAUACACAUUAUAAUUUUUACAUCAAAUAAAUAUAUUUAAAAUUAAAAUUUAUUUUGUUCAUAUAACUUAUAUUUUUUAUUUUUAUCUAUUAGAUAUAAUUUAAAAUAUUGACGACAAGAACUAUGACAAUAUUUAUCAUUUAAUUUAUUUUUUAAGUUAUGAAUGCUUGGACCUCACAUAAUUUGAUAUGAUUCUAAUUAUUAUAAACAGUGAUGUUUUAAAGUAUUUGCGAUGAUUUUUAUGUCUGCCUUAUAUAUUAUUUUUUUUAUGAUUAUUUACUAUAUAUUAUUUUUUAUAACAGCUUAUGUAAUAUAUAUGUAUUGUAUACAUUAUAAUUAUGUAUAACAUACUGAAUUACUUACUAAAAGCCUAUUUUGUAAUAAAAUAAAUAAAUAAAAACUAUUAUUUUAAUUUUAUAUUUGAGUUAACCUCCUUAAUCAUUAAGAAAGAUAAUAAAUGUAUAACUAUUAAAAAUAAUACAUAUUUGACUUUUUAAAACUAGAUAUGCUUUUUACAUUUUUUAAAAAGUUUUAUCUCAUUUUAAGUGAACUAGUUUAUAUAUAUUGUUUUAAUAUAAACAUUUUACAUAAGUUAUUGUAUAUUUUAUAAUAAUUAAUAAAUUGGUGUAGAUAUUAUCCAUAUAUAAGGUGAGGAUAUUGGUUGAUAAGUAUAUAGAAAUUGAGUUUUUACAUGUAGAACACAAUUUAUGUAGAAUGUGUCACUUUUACAUUAGUUUUACUAUAUGGGUAAAAAAAAAGUGUAAAAAUGGUUAAUAUAUCAAAACCUAAAACACGAGAAACAAGAAUUGAAGAGAAAAAUUGAAGUGCACAUAUGAUAUUAAAAUAGAUUUGAAACAAAGAUAUGUGUAGUGGAAGCUGUCAAAGUUGGAAAAAAGAGUAAUUUCAAUAAUGUGACACUAAUUUUUCACCAUUUUCAUCUCAAUAAGGACGAAAACCAAAUGUUGGAGACUCCACAUCGACUAAAAUUAGAGCAUUUCAUUGUAUAUAAAUGAGUGCAAAUCUCAACCUUAUAAGCUGGUUUUAUGGGGUUGAGUUAAAUUUAAAAUCCACUUUGUAAUACCAAAAAUAAAUAUGUUAUUUCUUCCAUAAUGAACCUUGUUUUUCAUUAAAAGAAUAACAAUUUUCUUGAAACGUUGUUUGUUGUCACGUAACAACAAAGUAAUUACAUCUGACACUCUUUGUAAUAAGCUUGAAGAUCCAUUGCACAAGCUCAUAUAAGGCAAAACUUACUACAAUCACAGUUUUUUCUUAACUCAUAAGAUUCAAAGCAAUUUGCAAGAGGACAAUGAAGUCUUAAGAUUUAAAAAAUGGUGAAUAAAAAAGAAAAACAACAGUUUUUUAUAAAGUGUUGAUUAUGGAUGUUGAAAAUUGUGUCUUUUCAAAGAUACACUAGAUCAAUCUACUUUUUCUUUUACUGUUUGGUUCAUACUUGUUGAAGAAAUUUUCUUCACCAAACAAGCUCAUAAAUAGUAUAUAUUUUGAUCAACUGUAGCCAAAAGUCAUUGUUGUUGAAUGGUCAAAACUGCACCGCAGACUUCGCGUAUAAGAAAUCUUCAUGCUGUUCUGCCAGAGAAGCUAGCCUCAUAGAUUGGUUUCUUUUCCAACAACAUAAUAAUACUUCAUGUCUCUGCCUUCAACCAACUCUCAUGCACAACUACUUCUCACACUGCAAGGGACAAAAAGUUUUACUAGCUUUUUACUCUUACUUCUUUUCAACAUUUCUCCUGUAGCACUGUUUUUCUUCUUCUAUGACUGCUAUUUUCCAAUUCAAUGCAUCAUAUAGUCUAAUUCCUCUAGUCAAACUGUCAGACUGUUAUGGAUAAUUCUCAAUGGAAUAGAAACUAAUUAUCAUGUAAUUGUUGAGUGUUUUGUAAUGUGUUUGUGGAAUUUUGGUUGUGUUAGGAGAUGGUUUGUGUGUAUUGUUUUGACUAAAGACCGGUUAUAAGGAUUCUGAUAGGGUAGAUGAUGAUUUUUGUUGAUUUGACUUUCAAUUGAGGAUUGGUUUGGUAGUUUGCAUGGUCUAAAGUAUGUUUGUGUGUCAAGUGGGCAAGUUGACCUUGGUUAUUUUCUGAAUAAGAAUUGAAACAUCUCUAAAGUAUCUGUAUAAGGGUUGAGACACCCUGAAGUGUCUCAUUUUAUUUUAUUUAUUUUUUGUUGAUAAAAAAAAUCAACUUGUUUUCUGAUAGAAUUAGUAUAGAACUGUUAAAUACAUAAAAAAAUGUGAAUGGUAGUGUGAGAUAUUCAAUAACAACACCAUAUGGAGGCAUAUACCAAAUUUUGUCUGCUAAUACAAAGUGAAUCAGAAGAAUGAAGGAAUAAAAAAAGUUCUCUGUUUACAAAGUUAUGGACUGAAGGGAGGAUAAGUGCAUGUAAAUUUGUGUGAAUCUUCUGAUAUCUCUGCUAAAUUCCUAUGAAUUGAAAAGAUAGAUACCAGAAGGGUUCUUGUAGGAACUAGAGAUUCAAUUAUAGUGUUGGCUAAUGGUAAAAUUGUACUAGAUGUCAUUUCAAUGCUACCAAAGUGAACAGAAUGAAAUUGAUUGAAAGUGAUCUUGAUGUUACAAAAUUUAUAUGAAACCAUUCAACAAGGGUGAGGUCUGUAGUCAUGCUCAAUUAUGGGUGUGGUUCGAGUGCCAUGUGCAGUAGGAGCUCUCACAUGUCCAACCAUUGACACCUGAAGGGCUUCUUCUUCAUAGGCCCUUCUCUCCAUCUCCACCAUCCUUGAUCUCUUCUUCACCCUAACUAGCAUGGCCACAAGAAGAAGGCCUAAGAGAAAAGCUCCCAAAGCAGCACCAAUGGUACUCCCAACAGCCACUUUCCACCUACUUAUAGGCCUGUUCCUGAACUCAUCUGGUGGGGACUCCACAACCAAACCAAAAUGGCCAUGCCUCUUUGCAACACAAACAAGUGGUGUUGAAGGGUUGCCCUUUGCUAGUGUCAUUCUUCCAUCACCUUCAAAGCUAGCACACAAGGGCUUCAUCCCAUCUUCCUUGCUCAACUUUGUGGUGUUUGUGAAGUCAAUUGUCAUUGCUCUUUCUCCAGCCACAAUCCCAAGUUGGAAAGGGUUGCUUGAGUUUGCAUCAUCAUCAGCAUUGUAGGCCAGAAGCCCCACAAUUGGAGACACAAGCUGGUACCCUGAUAGAUCAUAGUUAGCAUAAUAGAUAGAAGACCAAUUGUGGCCCAUGUUUUGUCUGAUCAACAUCACCCUCUCAAUACAUGGAUGAACAGUUACACCAGUACCAAGAUGGAAUUCCUUCAACUCUGCACCAUACCUUCUCAAACUUCCACACCUAAACCUCACAGCAUCAACUCCAAUGCCUGAAAGAUUUGCAGGUAAGUCCACUGACUGUGGUAUUGCUGUCCUCAAGUUCUUGUCCAAUAGUACCUUGAACGUGUGAUCUCUUAUGAUGAGGUCAAGAACAUGAGCUGACUUCACACUCUGACCCUCAGAUCCCGAAAAUGUAAAAGACACCCAGGAAAAUGUCAUCAAAAACAGACCAAAAGCAGAGUCCAUGAGAGAAAAAAUCCUAGAAUAUUGUUCCCAAGGUAACAACAGUCCUUGUUCUGUUGCAAUCCUUGAAAUUGUGGUCAGUUUGGUCACAAUCUUUGCUAUUGCAAUGAAAUUGCAGACAAAUGUGGUGCUGCUAUCACAAUUGUCGUGACCAGAUCCUAAAACCUUGAAAUUAUUUUGAAAAACUCGAUUAUUAUAGCACUAACAAUGUGUCUAGGUGAACCCCUUUUGGCUGGUAUUCUCUAGCUACAACACCAAAAGUAAAAAGCACUGAUAUUUGUUUUUCUCCUAAGGAAAGACCAUGUUUUUUUUUUCCUGUGGAAUGAGUUCCAAAGAAUAAAGAUUGUGGAGUGGUAAUAGAUGAGAAGGAUAAUAAGGGUAGUAGCAGUAGUAGACACCAGAUGAAGGAAAUGGAAAAGGGUAAAGCAGAAAAGUACUUGUUCUUGGAGAUGUUCCCUCAACAGAACUCAGACAUGGUGUUGUUGAAGUGAUGUAAGUGGCACAGUGAAAUUGAAUGAGAAUAAAAAUGUAGAGAUUUAUUGAAGGCAAAGAAGAAUGGGAGAAAAGUGGUGUUGGAGAUCCAUGUAUGAAUGUGGCAUUGAGAAGAAAGAAAAGGGUAAGAAGAAAUGAUUCUUGGGCGUGGAAUGAUGAUGACAGUUCAUGGUGAAAUAAGAAAAAUGGGAAAAGAAAUGAAGGGGUUGGGGAGAGGGGUUUAAGCGUGCUGAGAAAUGAAACUAAAGCAUCGUUGUUGUGCAUGGGGUCCAAUAACACUGAUUGUGUUGGCUGUAACAUGCCAUGUUCCCCACUUGUUGCACUCAAUGCCUCUAAUGUUAGGCUUAGCACACACAUGAACAUCACCUUUCCAAACUCAAAAAUCCAAACCCCUUUUCCAUUUUUAUCUUUAAAUUUCGAAACCAUAUUAAAAAGGCUCAAUCUUUUCAAAACUAGUAUUAAUAGUUAUAAAACUAAGAUUUGUAUCUAAUUAUAUAUAAAGUAUUUUUUAUUCGUAAUUCACGUGAGAUUUUCAAUACAAAAUAUUAUAUGAUUGGAUGAUUAACAAGUUAAUUUAAUCAAACCAUGAUUUGGAGGAGCAAUUCAGCCAUCACUGAUUCCUGCAUUACUGAUACAGACCAUUACUUUUCUCGUCCCAUCAUUACAGACUCAGAACACUUGAUUAGUAUCAACAAGAUCACAUUUAAGAAAAUGAGGUUUUUAAUACUAAUUUAUCUUGGUAAAUACGUCUGGUCAAUAGCUGUUUUUAAGAAAGAUUUAAAUUGAAUAAUGUCCGAAUGAUUUGAUCUGAAUUGAGCUCAUUAAAAUUUAUCUUGUAUAAAAAAUAAUUAAUAUCAUUAAUGAAUAUUUUCUUUUUAAUAUAAUUUUGAUUUAAUAUACAAUUUAUCAUAUGAUUAAGAUGGCUUCAGUUUUGUUGUAAAGUUUUUAAAAUUGUUAAUUAAUAAAAAAAGGAGGAUUACGAGGGCGUAAGCCCCGUUCGGUUAGUCAAGUUGACCAUGUGAAUGACUGUGAAUCGGCCAAAUUCUCAGGUGGGAAUUGCAUAGGCUCCACACGUGUCUCAGCCCCAAAUCCCAACUCUAAGAUACCCAUUACAGGGCCUGCAUUGCUGCAGAGAAGGCCCGGGGACUUUCCUGAGCCCAGCAAUUAGCAUGGGCCCAAUCACAUCGCCUCAUAAUCCAGUGGUAACACUUAGCGUAGUCAGAUGGUAUAUAAAGAUGUUUAAAGUCACACUUUCUAUCGAUGUGGGACAUUUUCAAUGCACUUCUAAAGAGAGAUUAAAUAAUUUAAGCAAUCUUUCGAGUGAUGAUAUUUUGACACCAACUCCACUUUACGUUCACAACAAAAUAUUAAUAUUUAUAAUAACAAAAAUUUAAAAAUAUAAAAAUCUUUUCAAUAAAAAUAUAAAAAAAAUAAAAAAUAUUAAAAUAAUUUUUAAAAUUAAAAAAUUAUAAAUAUUAAAAUAUUAAUAUUUAAUAAGAUGUUGGGUGAAACAUGUGUCAAAUUUUUUCUUCUUCUUUUUAACCUUUAUUCUAAUAUCUACACGAAGUAUCUAGUUGAAUUGUCCACGUCUCAUUUACACACUUUUCUUUUAGUUUUUUUUAUAUACUUCAUGUUAAACAUCACUACUAUUAGAUAAACAAAAAAUAUUUAAAGAAAAAAGAAAAAGUAAGAGGACUAAAGAAAACUUAUAAUACGAAAGAACUUUAGAAUUUGAAGGUGCUGAAGUGCGAUUGCAAAAUCUAUAUUGUAAUUGCAAGAUCUAUAUGGAAUUUAAUUAAUUGCAUGAUGUUCUUGAAGUUGUCCGGUUGUUGCACUACGGAGAUAGAUCUAUAACAUUUUAAAUUUACUAUAAUAUAUACUAUAAUUAUAAAUCUAGUUUUAAUAUAAAUAAAAAUAUUAAUUAUAAGAUAUUUUUCAAAUGAAAAAAAAUUAUUUAAUAUAAAAAAAUAAACUUAAAAUUGAUUUUAGUUUUUGAAGUUUAAAACACAUAUGCAUAAUUUAACCCUCAACUAUUAUGGGUGGAAUUAUAUUUUAGACAUACCAGAAUAAUUCAAAGAUUAAGAAAGAAAGGUGUAUUUAAAAUGUCAUUAAUAUCAACAGCUAAACAAUGUGGGACUAUAUUGAUUAUACCGAAAGACUCCUUUAAUAUGAGAAAUCAUAAACACAUGUAGAUAACUCAAAAUCCCAAAAACCACAAAUAUAUUUUUCAGCAGAAGUAAUAAAGUGGAAAACCAAUUACCAUGAAGAGAGAAGACAUUAAUAUCUUAAGAGGUAACACAAUGUAGAAGAGAGGGGAGGAUCCUUAGUUAUAAGGAGAGAGUGAGAAAUUUCUUCUCUUUUAGUAGGUUUGGUAAGUUUAAAUAGAAACAAAUUUUAAAGAACAAAAAUAACUAAUUACUAUAUUCACUAAAUUAAAUGUUAUUUUAAAGACUAGAACAAAUUAUUGGUAUCUAAAUUAUUUUUUAUUAUUGAUAAAUAGUUUUUAAAUUUGUAUCUAAUUAGCUACCAAAGUUUUAGAUAUCAACUUUUGAAUCAAAAUAACUGGUAGCUAAAACCUAUAUAGCUAAUUGGAUAUUAAUUUAAAAAUUAUUUAUCAAUAAUAAAAAUUAAUUUAGAUACCAAUAAUUUUUUUAGUCUUUAAAAUAAUAUCUAACUUAGUCAAUAUAACAACUAAUUAUUUUUAUCAUUUAAAAUUAAUGUUUUUAUUAAUAAUUUUUUAGUAAUGAUAAGUUUUUCUUUUAUAUAAAAGCUUGUUAGACAUCAUUAUGCAAUUUGACAUCUUAGUUAAACUCACCUCAAGUAAUAACAAUCAUCUGCCAUCACAUGAAAAAAAAAUAUAUUAUUAUUACAAAAAAGAAAAUACAAAAGUAUGAAGUAAUGAUAAAUUAACUAAUAACUUUUCUAACUAAUUUGACCUUGAUUAUUUCAUUUAUGCUUGAAAAUAUUUUUCACUUGAAAAAUGUGACCUCGUCAAGUCUUGGAUUAUCUAUAGAAAAAGACAUAUAUUUUGACAUUUUAAUUAAUCUUUUAAUUCCUUGAUUAAGUAAUUUAUAUAUUUUAAUUAAAUUAUUUUAUUAAUAUAAGCAUGAGAAGGUUUAAUAAGUUCCUAAAUACUAAUUAUGGUUUAAUAUUUAUUUAUAUGUGAAGGUUUAGAUUCUUAAAUUGUUUAUUUCUAUUCUUUCAACAAGUUAACCUAAAUAUACAAAUAAAACCCACUUGUGUAAAAUUUACAUUAAAUAGAAUUUAAAUUUCUAUAAAAAAAAAUUACCAAUCUAAUUUAUUUAUAAAGAAUAGUAUAAAAUAAGUUUUUCCAUGAAAUUAUAAAUUCUCAAGACAUAUAUAUUUUAUAAAAAAAGGAGGAUUACGAGGACGUAAGCCCCGUUCAGUUAGUCAAAGCUGACCAUGUGAAUGACUGUAAGAUCGGCCAAAUUCUCAGGUUGGAAUUGCAUAGGCUCCACACGUGUCUCAGCCGCAAAUCCCAACUCAAAGAUACCCAUUACAGGGCCUGCAUUUCUGCAGAGGAGGCCCGGGGACUUUCCUGAGCCCAGCAAUUAGCAUGGGCCCAAUCACAUCGCCUCAUAAUCCAGUGGU